rnacentral:other from 1 species
GGAAGUCUGCUGAGCCCGAGCUUUGGAGCCUCCAAUAUCUAAACCCUAAAUCUGAACCCGGGAUUCGUCCCUUUCCGUGGUGUGCAAGCCUGCCACAGCAGCAGGAAGCCUGAAGCGGAUAUCGCGAAGCCCACCUUUCGAGGAAUGGGUUUAGAUUUGGUUCCAGGCACGACUCGAGCGGUGCUCAC